rnacentral:rRNA from 1 species
UAAUACGUAGGUGGCAAGCGUUGUCCGGAAUUAUUGGGCGUAAAGCGCGCGCAGGCGGCUUCUUAAGUCUGAUGUGAAAUCUUGCGGCUCAACCGCAAGCGGUCAUUGGAAACUGGGAGGCUUGAGUGCAGAAGAGGAGAGUGGAAUUCCACGUGUAGCGGUGAAAUGCGUAGAGAUGUGGAGGAACACCAGUGGCGAAGGCGGCUCUCUGGUCUGUAACUGACGCUGAGGCGCGAAAGCGUGGGGAGCAAACAGGAUUAGAUACCCUGGUAGUCCACGCCGUAAACGAUGAGUGCUAAGUGUUAGAGGGUUUCCGCCCUUUAGUGCUGUAGCUAACGCAUUAAGCACUCCGCCUGGGGAGUACGGCCGCAAGGCUGAA